rnacentral:lncRNA from 10 species
UCAGAAUCUAAAAAGAACUUAAACAAAUUUACCAGGAAAAAAAAAUCAAAAAGUGGGCAAAGGAUAUGAACAGACACUUCUCAAAAGAAGACAUUUAUGUGGCCAAUAAAUAUAUAAAAAAAGCUCAUCAUCACUGCUCAUUGGAGAAAUGCAGAUCAAAAACACAGUGAGAUAACCAUCUCAUGCCUGUUAGAAUGGUGAUCAUUAAAAAGCCAGGAAACAACACAUGCCGGAG